CAGGUUUAGUUUGAUUCCAACUCCUUUUUUUAGUUUAUUUGAAUAAAAAAUUGGUUGUUUUUUUAUUACUAUAGGGGAGUUGCAGGUGUCCAUGUCAGAUUCCUAAGGAAAAAGAACCAUUUUUGUGGAUAUAUUGAAACAUUGCAGUGGUUAAAGAAGAGUACAAGAAAAGUUCUGUUUAUUUCUUCAGAAAAGAUUAAGAAAGUUUCAGAUUGAAAAUUUCCAUUUAUUUACGAAAUUGCCACCCUUCAGCGCGCACGUGUCGACCAUCGUAGAAAGGUUGGGGGAUGGAAGCAAACCCAAUUUUGUUCCAGAGAUCUCUUCGACGACAAGCCCAUUUUGCUCCAGAGCUCUUCAACGACAAAGUCGAUUCGGCGCUUCACCAUCGCACACCUCGCCUUCCCCUCGCCGUCGCACACCUCGCCUUACCUCGCCGCCGCACUCCUUACCAGAACUCGAAUCAAUGGGAGAGAGGCGUGGGAUGGCAGGGAGGGGAAGGGAGAGGGAGGAAUGAGGCUGCCAAAAAGGGGGUUAGGGUUGAUUUUUUAUCCUCAAAUCAAUUGUUGGUGUCGGUGAUUGAACGAGCAUUGGUUAGAGGGGAACUUUCAUUUCCUUUGUUUCUGAACCGGAAUGGGGUCGAUGGGACCAUGCUCUGUUGCACGCUCAGAUGAGUGAUUUGAGGGAUUUGGGGGUAGGGAGAGUGAUUUCAGGGAUUGGUAAUCCCAUCCCGUGUUUUCCCCUCAUCUCUGUCACACUCAACCUCUCUCUAAUCCUUUCUCUUUCUCUCUCUUUUAGACUCUUCCUUUCUCCCAACUGUCCAUCUCUCUCAACUUUAGUGCUAACCCUAAUUUGUUAUUUCAUUCCUCAAUUUUCUCCAUCCGAGCAAUGAAAAAUCGAAUUGGGUUUUCAGAUUAUUGAAGCUUCACGGACAGAGAAUGGAGAGAGUUGAUUGAGGGAGUUGGUGAGUAUGGGCUUGCACAGAGGGAAGAACGCAGAAAGAGAGAGAGAGAGAGGGAGGGAACGACUGCACAGAGACAAGGAGAGAGACAGAGAGAGAUCGCAGAAAGAGGAGGAUGACAAAAAUUGAGGAGGAACCCAUGUCUGCAGAGAGUGAGACAAAAAACUACCAGGGAAGGAGAAAACUGCCAGGAAUGUAAAACCCAGACAGGAGAAGGCAAGCAAUGGUGGAGGAACCGAGGCUGUAGAUCUUUGAUAAAAGCACUGACAAUAUCAUCGCUCUUUCCAUUCCUUUAUUUUUUGAUUAGGGAUUUGCAUAUUGCUAAAAGAGAGGAAGACAUUGGCUAUUGUGCUGGAUAUGUAGCUGAGUUGAUGAUUGUCGCUACUUACCUUUUGUAUUCUUCACUGUUUUGUUCCUUAACAAGUUUCUUUCUUUGAAGGGGCUUCAUAGAUGCUUGGCAGAGUCCUGACAUCAAUUUUUUAGGGAAUGAUGGCUGAUAUUGACUCAGAUGAAGCCCCUAUUUAUAUAUCCUGAUCAUUUUAUGUUCUAUCUUUUCUGACUUGGAUGAUAUUGAUCAAAUGAAUGAGUUAAAAACUGAAAGUUACAUUUGUUCCAUCAAUAUGUUGAUCAAAUGGAUGAGUUAGAAGCUGAAAAUUACAUUUGUUUCUUGCUACUUUUUAUACUGAACAGAUUUUGUGUAUGUAUAGUGCUUUAUUUUCAAGGUUUUUUCUCUCAACACCAUGUGAAUGUACAAAUAGUUCUUUCCCAAUUCAACCAAUUUAAAAAUUGGGAUUUUAACUGAUGUUCGUCCAUGGUUCCUUACUUUCCAGAUAUUGAAACAUGCAUAAAUUCACCUGGAAAUUAUUCAUGUCAAUGUCCCAAAGGAUACAAACAUGAAGGCAUGGAUGAAAAGAGUUGUAUCAAAGAUAACAAAUGGUCAAAGGCCAUUCUCCUCAUUAUUUCAUUAGGGAUGCACGUUUUUUUUCUCAUGUUAAUAUAUUGCAUAUACAAGCCUAAAUUUAUUUUAUUGGAGCCACUUUUGGAUCCAAAAUUCUCAUAAAGUAUGUCAUUGAUGAAAGUUAUAUUCUGGUGUCUUUUAGUGAUCUUCAUGUUUUUCGUACAAAAUAAGAUUGUUAGCUUCUAUGGUAAGCAGUAUUAACUAUUAGGGAUUUGUUUUCAUAUUGCAUGAAAUUUCCACUUUUUUCAUCUUUGAAUAGUCUCAAGCACGGUAAAUAUAAUAGCACUAUAAAGUGAGGAAAUCCACUUUCUUUGGUCAGGUUGGAUUCUCUACUAUGACUACCAUUUUUAUGUCUAAACAAAUUUUUAAUGGUAUGUAUGAUAUAAAAGGGUAGAUUUAACUAUUUUGGUUUCUUUGUUCUCACGCUUUGGUGCCUCGAGUUUUAAUUUUUCAUAGUUGUGUCUGAGUUGUUUUCCAGUUGCAAUUCGGGUGCCAUUGGCAACUUCUAGGGGACCAAAAUUGUUUUCAGGUCAAAAUACAGGAACCAAAUUGUAACUAGACUAGGAGAUUACAUUACCAAAGUAGGAAAGUUCUGUCUUGAUUCAUAGUUUGGCAACAUAAUAUGUAUGUAGGAUGAUGUUUUGGAACCGCUUGGUAAGUGUUUAAUACAUCCUAUAACAUGACUGACUAACAAGCAUGGUCGUUCAGAUAUACAUGCAAUUGAGAUCAUUGAUUAAAUCAGAUUUCUUUUAAAUGGAAGCAAAUCUUGCCUAUUAGGUGUUUGUGAAAAUUCCCCAGAGAGUUAGAAACAAGGAUAUGAUGCAAAUCUGAAUGUAGGCUGUUUUGGUAUGUGUGUGUACGUAUAGGGGUGUUAUAUUGAUUUGACAUGCUGCCUAAUUUAUCUAUUUUUCGAUUGUUCGAUCAAAGAAGGAAGUUCAAUUUAUCAAGGAUCAAGGUUUGGACUACUAGACAGCACGCCGAUUUCGGUUUGAGGUUCAACAACAGGUUGCUGAAAUGAUCACUUAUAUAGCCUCUACUGCAAAACAAUUUCCUAAGAAAUGUGUAUUACUUUGUCUUCUGGGUAUAUGUGAAUGGCUUACAGAGUUUUUCUGAAUCUGUAGAUCCAGUGGGCCCUCAUGACACUGUUAUAUCCAAACCAAAGUUUGGCGAAUUUGAUAUGUGUUGGAUACAAUGGCAGUCCUGCUUAAGCUAUCCAUGUUACUAGAAGAAGAUCAGAAGAUCAUAAAAGGCAAAAAACAGAAAGAAAUGUUAGCUGCUUCGUUUUUUGUCCUAAAAAUGCAGAAAAAUCCCCUCUUUUAAAUUCAUUCAUAGGAAGGCCUUUCUCAAAGAGCGAGACUAUACCUACUGGUGAGCGUUAUGCAGUGAAUGUCAUUAACCAGAUUGGGGACUUCCUUAAUCGUUUAGAAGCGCAGCCAACGAUGUGAGAGCAGAAGGGUAGCAAGCAUGUGAGUGCGGAAGACUUAGCUGCUUGAACAAGAACGACUGCUGCAGGGCGUUCUACAUGUUUUUGGCUUUCAACAUUAUUGCUUCAAGACUUAGCUGCUUGAACAAGAACGAAACACCAUCUUAACUGCAAGGAAAAAUAUGUGUGGACUGGAUGUUAAUUCUGUUUCUUACUGAAACAGGCGUCCUGCAUGUUUUUUGCUUUGCACGUUUGUGCUUGAAAACUUUGAUGCUAGAAUAAGAACGAAACAGUUUUUAUGUUGCCUAACCUAUAGGAUAUAUAUUUUGCCACAUUGACUACAGGGGCAAGAUUUGUGUGAACUGUAUGUUACUUCUGUUAUUAGGGAACCAAAACGUUCAGUUUCGUCCUGUUCAUUGUUUAAUGUCUUUUCAUGUCAGCUCAGUUGAAUGUAUAUAAAAACGAAGCUGCAUAUCGUACUAAUCUCAUUCACUCAUUUAUCCCU